ACACUGUCUUGUAUUGACUUGCACUGUAUUGUGUUGUCUUGCACCGUCUUGUGUUGUCUUGCACCGUCUUGGUUUGUCCUACACCGUCUUGGUUUGUCCUACACUGUCUUGUGUUGACUUACACUGUCUUGUGUUGUCUUACACUGUCUUGUGUUGACUUGCACUGUCUUGUGUUGUCUUGCACUGUCUUGUGUUGACUUUCACUGUCUUGUGUUGACUUUGCACUGUCUGUCUGCACUGUUUGCACCAGGUUGCACAUGAUGCACUUUAUGUGGUGAGGACACUUAGCUCAGUCAGCUCUGUGUUUCUUCUUAUGUAGCUUUAUGCUGUAAAUGUAGCACCAGGGUUCCUGGAGGAACGUUGUUAUAUUUCACGGUGUACUACGUCAGCUAUAUAUGUUUGAAAUGACAAUUAAAGCUUCUUGACUUGACGUGACUUGAUAGAUGGCAAAGACAAAACAGACUUUCCUAAAAAAAAAGGGGAAAGACCAAAUGAUGAGACAGCAGAAGUCUCCAAGACUGUCAGCUGCAUUUAAAAGGAAAUACCAAGAGUCCUAUUUAAAUUAUAGUUUCAUCAAAAUAUUUAUAUCAUGUGGCUCAAGGCUGUCUAUAAUUCUGCAUUUUGGACACCAUUGCGGGGAUCCAGCGCGAAUAGCAGAAGGUGCAUGGCGCGUUUUGAAAAAAGAAGACUUCAAGGACGUAUUCCAGAAGUGGCAGGAACGCUGGGAGCGCCGCAUUGCUGUGCGAGGGGUCUAUUUUAAAGCUGAUUCCACAAGGGGGCACACAUUCCCAAGAGUUGACAAGCUGAAGCAGAUGGUGACGUGUGUGGAUUAUUGGUCAUCAUGGUCUUGUCUGGACUGGAGUUGGAACAUGUCAGGCUGCAGCCAAACCCAGCAUUCCUGUUGAGAUACUGUCAUUGCAGGAUAUUAAUAAACCUAUCAAGCUAUCUACUCGUUUAAGGACAGACAAGUGUCCUGUGAGGGUUCUCAAGCUAUGUGCCAUGCCCAUGCCUGCUGCUCCAGUAAUCCUCAAACCACAACUGCAUUACAAAACCAUAUGUAUGAACACUUACAUACAUUGUAUGUUCAUCUGUUAUAUAUAUAUAUAUACACAUAUAUCUAAUGUUCCUCUUAGAACACGAAUCUAUUAAUAGAAUGACAUUAAUGAGUCAAAUCACUGAUUGAUAUAAAAUUAUCAUGAGCCCAAAAAACGACUUCAAAAUAAAUUGCACAAAAAAAGCCGCGGGUGAUGUGGCAAGUUUGA